rnacentral:rRNA from 1 species
UACGGAGGAUGCAAGCGUUAUCCGGAAUGAUUGGGCGUAAAGCGUCCGCAGGUGGCUUUGUAAGUCUGCUGUUAAAGAGUGAGGCUCAACCUCAUAAGAGCAGUGGAAACUACAAGGCUAGAGUACGUUCGGGGCAGAGGGAAUUCCUGGUGUAGCGGUGAAAUGCGUAGAGAUCAGGAAGAACAUCGGUGGCGAAGGCGCUCUGCUGGACCAUAACUGACACUCAGGGACGAAAGCUAGGGGAGCGAAUGGG